GACAAUUUAGCAUUUUUUGUAUGAGCUGCUUCAUAUAUCGUACAAGGAAAUCUGACUGGCAUUUUUUAUUGUCAGAAAGAUGCUAGCCAUUAUUACAAUUAAAAUUGCAAAUUGUGGCACAUCGCAAGUACCAACAUAAGAGUAAGACAACCAUAAUAAUCUUUAUUUCUUGGGCAUUUUCAAACUUAUUUGUUCACUAGCGAUUAAGUAUGAGCCAGCAUUACGGCUACAGUGGGAGACAAUGGGGAGACAAAUGAGCCUAGUGGUGGCCACCUCCAGGACUUGGUACUGACUGCAUUAUUCGAUCAAUUUUGGCAAGAUGAAGAGCAAAUAGCCUUUCAUUCUUAGCCAUUAUGUGAUCUUUCUCAGUUGGAGAGGGUGGUGGUGUAGGCUUAUUAGGAAGAACAGCUGGAACCAAAUUGUCCUUUGGGGAAAAGACUUCUUUCUUCUCUACAUUGAAAAGCAUCCUAGAUUGCAUAGAUGGUACCUGAAAGAUCAAAGCAAAGAGAAUGAUAAGCAAAGCAAGGGUUAAGCGAUUCAUUUUUGGAAUCCCAAUAGCCUUUUUGAUAUUCCUAGUCUUCAAUUGCGACUGAUUGUGUUG
rnacentral:lncRNA from 1 species